UACGAAGGGGGCUAGCGUUAUUCGGAAUUACUGGGCGUAAAGCGCACGUAGGCGGAUCGAUCAGUCAGGGGUGAAAUCCCAGAGCUCAACUCUGGAACUGCCUUUGAUACUGUCGAUCUAGAGUAUGGAAGAGGUGAGUGGAAUUCCGAGUGUAGAGGUGAAAUUCGUAGAUAUUCGGAGGAACACCAGUGGCGAAGGCGGCUCACUGGUCCAUUACUGACGCUGAGGUGCGAAAGCGUGGGGAGCAAACAGG
rnacentral:rRNA from 1 species